rnacentral:lncRNA from 1 species
UUUAUUUUAUUUUAUUAUUAUUAUUUUUUGGUACAUCGGCUGCUCAUACUGCUCUCGCAUGAGCACAGCCAGCUACAUCACUAGCAAGAAGACUACAUAAAGCAGAAGAAACAGAGGACUAGUUGGUCGAGAGCAAUUCUCCAUAAUGAUGAGUAGCUUUUUAAGGGCUGGCACUGCUUCGCAUGUUUCCCACAUAAGGGGGAUACAUAGCGGGUAGCAGCACCUUCCUUUCUUUUAAUAUUUUUUAUGUUGAGGGGUGCUCCAAAGUGGCAUGUCCUCUUAAUAUAAUUUAUUUAGUAGUUCCUUCUCAUUUUUGAUUUAAUAUUUUUUUGUAUGAUAUAAUUUUCUUAGGUUCAUCAGUAGCGGUGCAAACUGAUGGCUUUAAGAAAUGAUAGGUGACUGCAUAUUUUUCUGCAUAUUUUCAUUCAUAUGAUUAUGCUUGGAAUAAGGGACAAUACAGGGCUUCAGUUGCAGUACAUGGAAGUUGUUGUAUUAGCUCAUAAUAAAACUUAAAUUUACAAUGAAUCUCUUUCAAUUAAUCUUUUAAAAUUAUUCUUUUCUAUUAUUUAGUUAUUCAAAAAAAAAUUAUUAUUGCCUUUGAUGUUAAUUAUGCCAUUUGUGGUUUUGUUUUAUCAACAACAUUUAACUGAUUUGAAAAAAAUAAUUUAAAGCUUUUAUUUAAAAAUUUUACUGCAAAAUUCUGCAGCUAUAGUUUGCAUUUUCAUUGAUUAGUUUAUAAAGAAUAGUAAAUUUUCCUUCGAAUAUUUGGUCCACAUACGUUUACCCUUAGUAUAAAAUUUAAUUUAUGAAUUAUGGGUUUUUCUACUGUCUCAAUUAACCUUUUCCCACUUGAAGUAGCAUUUAUGAUACAUAUAUUUUUUUUCUAAAGUAAUGGAGUAAGUUAAAGCUCUCUAUUAUUUCGUUCCAUCUAUUGAGUAGACUUCUUCAAGAGGACUUACUUUCCAGAGUGUUGCCUUGGAUUAUGACGGGCAGAGUUGGCCACUUGGUCUGUAGUUUUUGCUUCCCAUAUGGAUUCAACUACAUAUAUCAACCCUUCUAUCUUCCUUUAAUUUGAAAAAAAAAUCUCCUUAUUCUAUUCUCUAGACUCUUAAGGCAUGUUUUGGUUUGUAACCGAAAUCAGAAUCGAAAUGGAUUAGAAUGGGAGUCAAAACAACUAUAUCCUCCAAUGCAUUUGGUUUACAACUGGAAUCGAAAUCGGAUUUGGAUACUAGGAGAGAGUUGGGAUUGAAUUUGGAAAAUUGGAG